CUCAAUGGUAGCGUGUAAUGGGAAAGGUUUAGCCCUUUGCUGUAUUCCUUGUGUUGCAGUUUGUCACCCCGUUACACGUUACCGCCCAA
rnacentral:antisense_RNA from 1 species